rnacentral:rRNA from 1 species
AUGGAAUAUGGGAGUGCCACCCUGGAGGACAUUGCAGAAUAUGACACGAUAGUCAGUCAAAUUUUUGGCAGCGAGGAAGAAGGUUACAAUUACUAUAAUGCAUAUGCUCGGUCAAAGGGUUUUGGUGUUAGAAAGGAAGAACUGACUAGGAAGUCGGACACGAACAUAGCUUUUCGGCGCCUCUAUGUCUGCUCUAAAGAAGGAUAUCGGGCGAGGAAGCACUUUGAGAAGACUAAACGGGUGCGAACUCCUAGGCCGCUGUCACGUUGUGGAUGUGGUGCUCGGAUGGAGAUCGAGCUUCGUAUGGAUAAUGGUGAAUGGUUUGUAAAAGAUUUUGUGGACGAACAUAACCAUCCACUCGCUAAGCCUGAGCAGACAACUUACAUAAGGUCACAUCGUGGGCUAAGUGAUGUGCAAAAGGCUGAUGCCAUUGAGUAUGGAAUUGGUGGCCUUCGAACACAUCAAAUAAUGGAAGUAAUGGAGAAGGAUAGUGGUGGUUUCAGCAAGUUGUCAAAAUGGGAAGUAGCAGAAGUGACCAAGAAUGAUGCUUUUGUUCUGUAUACAGUAGCUCGCAAAGAGAGUAGGCAUGUGACGUAUGAUGUGAGGUUUGUCAUGGCAGGCCCGUUGCUUCAGAGCUUGAAUUGCCGUUGUCUAAAGAUGGAAUCGGAGAUCCCGUGCGCUCACAUUUUUCCUGUUCUAAAAUACCUUGGCUUAGUCAGCAUUCCUAGGUGUUGUGUCUCAACAAGAUGGACGAUGGUAGGCAAGUCCGCAUUUGACUCAGAGAGGAAUGGUAAUAUGCAUGAAUGGUCUGAGCGGAUGGAUCGUUACCAUGAACUCCGGAACAUUUGUAGUCUGUAUUUAUUCAAAGCUUCAAACAGGCAGGAGACGUCACAAAAGGUGGUGGAUUUUCUCAAGGGUAUUAUAGCUGAAGGCGGCGAAGAUGGUGGGGAAAAUGAGGCGGCAUCACUGGGCCUUCUUCCAGCAUAUUUUUCAGGGUCAAGCCAAGCAUAUCUAGGAAAUGUCCGGAAUCCAAAAAUAAUUAAACCGAAAGGUGCUCCAUCCAAGACAUCCAACAAGAGGUGGAAGCCGUUUAACGAGAUUUGGAAUGAAAACAAUGUUUCAAAGAAGUGA